CUAGCUACUACAAUCAAGCAGCCCCCAGUGAACUUCAAAAGACAACAAUAUAAUUAGCAUAUAGGAUCUGCAGAUCCAAUGCCCCAUAAAAGGAGUCCCUCCAUUCUAUCUAUGAUUACAAGCAAUGAAAAGUUUUAACAUUCAGGUUAUCAACAACGUCAAAUGCCUUUUGCAUCACAUCAAACUAAUAAAAGUACUGCAGCGCCUUCUCUUUAUCUUAGUGUUUCAUUGUUCGUAUUCUGGAGGGAAACAGAGACACACACAUUAACAUGGAGCUAGGUGUAAGCCUUUAUGGGAAAAGGAUGAAAAUAAAAACUAUAAAAUCUACUUUUCAAGUAAUAGAUUUAAAACAAAAUGAAGGGUAUGAGUUAGUACGAUCUAGUAAAAAACAACCUGAUGAAAUAAAGGACUAAAAGCCCAAAUACACUAGUGAAACUUAUGAAAGGAUGUAAAAGGUAGAAAUAUAGAAGGGAUCAGAUAUUGAAAUAUUGCCUUUUGAAGCCUUUCAAAUUUCCCGUCACCUUCACCAAAAAAGAAAGGAAAAGAUGGAAACAUAGGCAUUAGUCCAAUACAUCUUGGAAAGAUGUGCUCAAGGAACGCCAGAGCAAAGGGAGCCAUUCACAGAAGUGCAGACAAGUCAAAAAAGAGCUUUAGGCAUAACAUCAUUUUUUUUAUUCGUCCAAUGAAGCUUUUGAACCUAAGACAUUAAUCAAACAUUACUUCU
rnacentral:lncRNA from 1 species